rnacentral:rRNA from 1 species
UACGUAGGGUGCGAGCGUUAAUCGGAAUUACUGGGCGUAAAGCGUGCGCAGGCGGUUUUGUAAGACAGAUGUGAAAUCCCCCGGCUUAACCUGGGGACUGCCUUUGUGACUGCAAGACUAGAGUGCGGCAGAGGGGGGUGGAAUUCCACGUGUAGCAGUGAAAUGCGUAGAUAUGUGGAGGAAUACCGAUGGCGAAGGCAGCCCCCUGGGUCGACGCUGACGCUCAUGCACGAAAGCGUGGGGAGCAAACAGG